GCGCAGGAAAAGAAACCAACAGGGAUUGCCCCAGUAACGGCGAGUGAAGCGGCAACAGCUCAAAUUUGAAAUCUGGCUUCGGCCCGAGUUGUAAUUUGCAGAGGAAGCUUUAGGCGCGGCACCAUCUGAGUCCCCUGGAACGGGGCGCCACAGAGGGUGAGAGCCCCGUAUAGAUGGACGCCUAGCCUGUGUAAAGCUCCUUCGACGAGUCGAGUAGUUUGGGAAUGCUGCUCAAAAUGGGAGGUAAAUUUCUUCUAAAGCUAAAUACCGGCCAGAGACCGAUAGCGCACAAGUAGAGUGAUCGAAAGAUGAAAAGCACUUUGAAAAGAGGGUUAAAUAGCACGUGAAAUUGUUGAAAGGGAAGCGCUUGUGACCAGACUUGCGCCGGGCGGAUCAUCCGGUGUUCUCACCGGUGCACUCCGCCCGGCUCAGGCCAGCAUCGGUUCUCGUGGGGGGAUAAAGGCACCGGGAACGUAGCUCCUCCGGGAGUGUUAUAGCCCGGGGCGUAAUGCCCUCGCGGGGACCGAGGACCGCGCAUCUGCAAGGAUGCUGGCGUAAUGGUCAUCAGCGACCCGUCUUGAAACACGGACCAAGGAGUCAAGGUUUUGUGCGAGUGUUUGGGUGUAAAACCCGCACGCGUAAUGAAAGUGAACGUAGGUGAGAGCUUCGGCGCAUCAUCGACCGAUCCUGAUGUUCUCGGAUGGAUUUGA
rnacentral:rRNA from 1 species